GGAACAUCGGAUUACUCAUCUGGUGGCAGGUGGGUGUCGGAGCUGGCUGUGGACCCCACCGUCUGUAGCCAGUCCGCAGCAGCUUUCCUCUCUGGCAAACUCACAGCAAGCAUGCAGGGUGAUAAAACGGCAGUGACAAAUCCAGUGCAAUCAGGUGGGAAAUCCCCCCUGAGUAAUAACACCUCCUCAUCGCUCAUCCCGACCUCUUCCCCUGAGCCCCGCGUCUGCCGCUGAGAACUCAGCGCUGUUUUACCUUCAGCCCUGAGCUCCGCACAGGAAAAAGAAGAGAAAAGUGAGACACGGGAGUCUGGAGGAUCUCAAUCAAUGGUCAGAAAGGAGUACCCAGAAUGUCUACUGAUUGCCUCACUCCACGCAGAAUAUGCAACAUUCAUCCUUUCUCUAUCGCACCCUCCCUGCAUCUCCCAUCAUUCUUGACUCAGAGAAGAAGGCGUCAAGCAUCCUUUCAAGUACCUUCCCCAGGGUUGUCAUCAACUUAACUCCUCUUCAGUUUCCACUGCUACUAGUAAAGUAAUCAUGAUUUACGAAGAAUCCAUGGAAAAAUUUUGCAUCUAUUAAUUAUCUGACUUAAUCUUUACCAGAUUGUUAUUAAGCAAGAAUUACUAUUACCCUGAUUUUCACAGAUGAGGAAAUUGAGGAUAAGGAAAUUUAGGAACCUGCCUAGAGUUACACAACAAGGAAGUUGCAGAGGGGAGGGUUUUUGCCAAGGUUUCUAUGAUUCCAAUGUUAUCACUUUUCUAAUGCAUCUGCUGACCGAGACUGAAGAAUCAACUACCUCCUCCAGAAGGUCAGUUACCCAAGAAAUCUCUGGGACUGAGGAGAACGGGGGAACAGGAGACAGAUCGGAGAGGCUGGGACAUGGAGAUUUGCUUCAUAUGCAAAGAACUCAUCUCCUAGAAUUUUGCAGCAUCUUCCAGAGUCUAAGCUUGUGUUUUGACGUGCCCUUUCCAAGACAAGGGGAUACGUGAAGCUCAGUGAAUCAGGAGCGUUUACGGAGGAGAAAGAAAAUAAGAUCUUCUCCCCAGCUAAAAAUCCAGGCAUUGUCCUUGGCUGGAAAACCUCUCUUGGAUUGUAUGGACAGACUGAAAAUACAUCUUAGCAUCCAAACAUAGACAGCCAGGGCAUGGACUCAGGCUUGAUGCCCAAAGAGAUCCUCAUCAUCAUACCUUAGAAGUACCACAUCCUUUGUUCUUCCUGGCUAAACCCCUUCAGCCAACAUCCCUGCCUGCAGGGUAAGCAAUUUACUUACAGUUAAACUGCUAAUAAGUAGGGAAUCAUGGAUCAAUCAGAAACACUAAAUAUUUCAAAAUAUUUAGGGUCAAUAUUUCAAAAAACAUUGCAACAUUUGUACAUUUACCUGCUACAAGUUUGCAUGGGCAGGAACCAUAUCAAGUCCAUUAAAAUUCCUGAUUUCCUUAUGUCUAGCAAAAUCUUUGAUCACUAGUUAUGUAUAUUUCAGUUAAUAAAAAUGAAGAGCAUGAGUACUCUUCCAUAAGAAAUGCAGCGUGUUGGGAUAUACAGAAUUUUGCAAAACAGAGUAGAAUGGGGAUGGUUAUCAUAACACAGUGGGCCCAUCAGUGUAGUGGAGUUCAACAUUUUUGAUUCCUUCCAAAUUUCCAGAUUUCAUCUUUGAUGUUGGGAAUGUAAAGACUGAUAUAGCACAAUCAUGGUCCUCCAGAAAUGUAUCAGAUUGUUGGGGAAACAAAUAGAUGCAGAAAUAGUUAUCUGCGUGAUACAGCAAAUACAAACAUGUGCAAGAUGCUCCAAGGAUGUAGAAAGAGAAGCCCUGGUUGGGCUUGUGUGGAGGAGAUGUGGGAAAGGGGGCUUUCUCAAGGAAGCGAUGUCUGAACUCAGACGUGAAGGAACAGCAGAGCUUACCCUCCCCACAGGAGGUUGUACUGUACAGCAUGAGCAAAGAAAGGAGGAAGGUGUAAAGACAUUACCUUUGGUGCAAAGAUUGGCAUAGCUGUCCCACAACCUAUUUGAAUUAACAUUUGUCAAUGAGACACCAACAUCAAAUGCUAUCACUGACAUGUGGAAUCUAAAAAAAGGACACAAUGAACUUCUUUGCAGAACAGAUACUGACUCACAGACUUUGAAAAACUUACGGUUUCCAAAUGAGACAGGUUAGCGGGUGGGGGGAUGCACUGAGGGUUUGGGAUGGAAAUGCUGUAAAAUUUGGUUGUGAUGAUUGUUGUACACCUAUAAAUGUAAUAAAAUUCAUUAAGUAAUAAAAAAGGAAAAAAAACUUUACAAUGAUAUAUAAAAAAUAAUAAUGUUUAUCAUGGUAGGUCUCCAUGCAUUAAGAAUUUACUGAGAGGCUAUUCUAUGCCAAGCCUAACAGUGGGCACCCAGGGUGGAUAGCUCAAAUGUCAUGUCUCCAAAAAUCCACAUUUCAGGAGAGAAAACGAUGCAACACUGUGCAAUGAGCUUGAAAGACCUCACCCAUAAUACAUGCUGGACCAGGAGCUUUAUUUGGUAGAAAUGCUUUGAAAAUAUUUUUUUUUGUUUUUAUCUUGCCACUGGAUGUGUC
rnacentral:lncRNA from 1 species